rnacentral:rRNA from 1 species
UACGAAGGGGGCUAGCGUUGCUCGGAAUCACUGGGCGUAAAGCGCACGUAGGCGGAUCUUUAAGUCAGAGGUGAAAUCCCAAGGCUCAACCUUGGAACUGCCUUUGAUACUGGGGAUCUCGAGUCCGGAAGAGGUGAGUGGAACUGCGAGUGUAGAGGUGAAAUUCGUAGAUAUUCGCAAGAACACCAGUGGCGAAGGCGGCUCACUGGCCCGAUACUGACGCUGAGGUGCGAAAGUGUGGGGAGCAAACAGG